UUUUUUUUUUUGUUCUCUUAUGUUUUGUUUCCCUGGUGGUAGCAACAAGGUGGUGGCGUGGGCGAAUUGUUGGAGUAAGGUCUCUGCGGCCUCUCAUUAUCUAGAAGAUGUUAGAUCCGACGCCAAGGAAGGGUCUGCGAGAGUUUACAUCGCUAGAUCCAUUUGCUCUCUUCGGAUAUUGGUAGUUGGUUUGUGCUUCAAGGAGAUCUAUCUUCCUUCGUGUUGUCCUGUGGCAUGAUCAAGUUUCUUCAACUCUCUGUACCGGUGGUCACGAAGCAUGUACUGCAUUGGGUGAUGCUUUAACCGAUGUUUCUUCACCGAUUUCUAGAUCUCGUUUCAAAUGCGAGUAGCUAUUGUGGUCUUUAAAGCCUGGUUGGCGAGGGUGUUUGCAUGUGUCCCUUUCAUUUACUGCCAGUGGAAUUUUUACUCUUCGAUGGACGGCGUCUAAUUAAGAAGAUUGGUAAAUUUCAAUGUAACUUUAUUUUCUACUACUAUACUAUUUAUUCUGUGUCCGGUUGUGUUUUCCUAUUGUACUAUUUUUUUUGAGAUAGCUAUUUUUCCUGUUGAUAUAAUGUGUCUCUUUGUUCUUCAUAAUUAUCAGAUUUUUUUUUUGAGUUGAUCAUAAUUAUCAGAUGCAAUCAACAUGUUCCAGGAGCUUAUAAAGUCAAUUUGGCUCAAAACUGAAGUGAUUCGAUCUCAAAGAAGCUCGUAACAGCAGACAGCCAAAGCACAAGCAUGAGCAGACCGAAGCAGCAAAGAGGCACAGGGCAUGAGCAACAAGGAGCAAGCAAGCAAGCAGGCAGUGUCCAUGGGAACGUUCUGGUUUCUAUUACCGCGAUUUCGAAGUUAUUUCCCCCAAGACGACGCGUGCCGCCGACACCAGGCACAAGGGGGGAAAUCACUCGGCGCCGACAGGAGGCGCUCUUAUUACAUUGAUCGGUCGGUCGAUGGCACGAACACCAGCGCAUUUCAUUUGGGUUUUACACCGAGAGAGGCGUCUGAGCAGCAGCUUUCCUCACAAGCUGGACAGGUACGCCUGCCACCCUUGGACGCGGUACUCCCUGGCCGUCUGCUCGGGGUCGCUCGCCUUGAUGAUCCCGCGCCCCACAAUGAUUAUAUCGCUG
rnacentral:lncRNA from 1 species